rnacentral:rRNA from 1 species
AGCGCAGGCGGUUUAUCAAGUUUGUGGUUAAAGUUCGGGGCUCAACCCCGUGAUGCCACAGAAACUGGUAGACUAGAGUGCAGGAGAGGUGAGUGGAAUUCCAUGUGUAGCGGUAAAAUGCGUAGAUAUAUGGAGGAACACCAGUGGCGAAGGCGGCUCACUGGCCUGUUACUGACGCUGAGGCUCGAAAGCGUGGGGAGCAAAUA